AAAGGUAAGCUACUAAGAGCGAAUGGUGGAUGCCUUGACUGGUAAAGGCGAUGAAGGACGUACUAGACUGCGAUAAGCUACGGGGAGCUGUCAAGAAGCUUUGAUCCGUAGAUUUCCGAAUGGGGCAACCCAAUGUAUAGAGAUAUACAUUACCUAUAUAGGAGCGAACGAGGGGAAUUGAAACAUCUUAGUACCCUCAGGAAAAGAAAUCAAUAGAGAUUGCGUCAGUAGCGGCGAGCGAAAGCGCAAGAGGGCAAACCCAGUGCUUGCACUGGGGGUUGUAGGACUGCAAUGUGCAAGAGGUGAGUUUAGCAGAACAUUCUGGAAAGUAUAGCCAUAGAGGGUGAUAGUCCCGUAUGCGAAAAACAAACCUUAGCUAGCAGUAUCCUGAGUAGGGCGGGACACGAGAAAUCCUGUCUGAAGCUGGGUCGACCACGAUCCAACCCUAAAUACUAAUACCAGAUCGAUAGUGCACAAGUACCGUGAGGGAAAGGUGAAAAGAACUGAGGUGAUCAGAGUGAAAUAGAACCUGAAACCAUUUGCUUACAAUCAUUCAGAGCCCUAUGUAGCAAUACAGGGUGAUGGACUGCCUUUUGCAUAAUGAGCCUGCGAGUUGUGGUGUCUGGCAAGGUUAAGCAAACGCGAAGCCGUAGCGAAAGCGAGUCUGAAUAGGGCGCUUAGUCAGAUGCUGCAGACCCGAAACGAAGUGAUCUAUCCAUGAGCAAGUUGAAGCUAGUGUAAGAACUAGUGGAGGACUGAACCCAUAGGCGUUGAAAAGCCCCGGGAUGACUUGUGGAUAGGGGUGAAAGGCCAAUCAAACUUCGUGAUAGCUGGUUCUCUCCGAAAUAU
rnacentral:rRNA from 1 species